UACGUAGGGUGCAAGCGUUGUCCGGAAUUAUUGGGCGUAAAGAGCUCGUAGGCGGUUUGUCGCGUCUGCUGUGAAAACUCGGGGCUUAACUCCGGGCCUGCAGUGGGUACGGGCAGACUAGAGUGCGGUAGGGGAGACUGGAAUUCCUGGUGUAGCGGUGAAAUGCGCAGAUAUCAGGAGGAACACCGGUGGUGUAGACGGCUUUCUGGACCGUAACUGACGCUGCGACACGAAAGCGUGGGUAGCAAACAGG
rnacentral:rRNA from 1 species